rnacentral:rRNA from 1 species
AGAACGUCGUGAGACAGUUCGGUCCCUAUCUGCCGUGGGUGUAGGAAUAUUGAUUGGAUCUGUCCCUAGUACGAGAGGACCGGGAUGGACGUACCUCUGGUGGACCUGUUGUGGCGCCAGCCGCAUUGCAGGGUAGCUAUGUACGGAAGGGAUAACCGCUGAAAGCAUCUAAGCGGGAAACUAACCUCAAAACCAGGUAUCCCUGAGAGCCGUGCAAGACCAGCACGUCGAUAGGCCGGG